rnacentral:rRNA from 1 species
UGGGGAAUUUGGACAAUGGGCGCAAGCCUGAUCCAGCCAUGCCGCGUGAGUGAUGAAGGCCUUAGGGUUGUAAAGCUCUUUCGCCGACGAAGAUAAUGACGGUAGUCGGAGAAGAAGCCCCGGCUAACUUCGUGCCAGCAGCCGCGGUAAUACGAAGGGGGCUAGCGUUGUUCGGAAUCACUGGGCGUAAAGCGCACGUAGGCGGAUUGUUAAGUCAGGGGUGAAAGCCUGGAGCUCAACUCCAGAACUGCCCUUGGUACUGGCAAUCUCGAGUCCGGAAGAGGUAAGUGGAACUGCGAGUGUAGAGGUGAAAUUCGUAGAUAUUCGCAAGAACACCAGUGGCGAAGGCGGCUUACUGGUCCGGUACUGACGCUGAGGUGCGAAAAGCGUGGGGAGCAAAACAGGAUUAGAUACCCUGGUAGUCCACGCCGUAAAACGAUGGAGGCUAGCCGUUGGCGAGCAUGCUCGUCAGUGGCGCAGCU